rnacentral:rRNA from 1 species
AUUGAACGCUGGCGGCAUGCCUUACACAUGCAAGUCGAACGGUAACGGGCCUUCGGGUGCCGACGAGUGGCGAACGGGUGAGUAAUGCAUCGGAACGUACCUUUCAGUGGGGGAUAACGUAGCGAAAGUUACGCUAAUACCGCAUAUUCUGUGAGCAGGAAAGCAGGGGAUCGCAAGACCUUGCGCUGAUUGAGCGGCCGAUGUCAGAUUAGCUAGUUGGUGAGGUAAAGGCUCACCAAGGCGACGAUCUGUAGCGGGUCUGAGAGGAUGAUCCGCCACACUGGAACUGAGACACGGUCCAGACUCCUACGGGAGGCAGCAGUGGGGAAUUUUGGACAAUGGGGGCAACCCUGAUCCAGCCAUGCCGCGUGAGUGAAGAAGGCCUUGGUGUAAGCUCUUCGGUCGGAAGAAUCGCAUAGGCUAAUACCCUGUGUGGAUGACGGUACCGGAAUAAGAAGCACCGGCUAACUACGUGCCAGCAGACCG